rnacentral:rRNA from 1 species
GAUGAACGCUGGCGGCGUGCUUAACACAUGCAAGUCGAACGGAAAGGCCCUGCUUUUGUGGGGUGCUCGAGUGGCGAACGUGUGAGUAACACGUGAGUAACCUUCCCUUUACUUUGGGAUAACCUCAGGAAACUGGGGCUACUACCUGCUAGGAGCUCCUGCUGCAUGGUGGGGUUUGGACCUUUUCGGCGGUUGGGGAUGUACUGGCGGCUUAUCAGCUUGUUGGUGGGGUGGUGGCUUACCACGGCUUCGGUGGGUAGACGGACUGAGUGGGUGAGCGGCGACAUUGGGACUGAGAUACGGCAGAGACUGAGAAGGGAGGCAGCAGGGGGAAAUAUUGAACAAUGGGCGGAAGCCGGAUGCAGAAGCGCCGCGGGCGGGAAAGCGGCUUUAGGGGUGUAAACCGGUAGCGACUGAAAAGAAGGGUGAGUGACGGUAAUGGGUAAAGAAGCACCGGCUAACUACGUG